GUGGGUGGGUGGGUGGCAGGUGGAGUAAAAACGAAAUGUCGUUUUCCUCUUCGUCAUUUUGCUGCAACCCAAAUUUCAACGAAGACAGUAUGUGGGUUUGGAAAGAGAAGAAAGGAGCAGGGCUAUACAUACAUGGGACUUAGUAGGGUUAGCAGGUAGGAUAAUUAGGAGGAAGAAGAAGAAGGAGGAGGAGGGAAGGAGGGAGGCUUAG
rnacentral:lncRNA from 1 species